rnacentral:rRNA from 1 species
UAGGGAAUAUUGCACAAUGGGGGAAACCCUGAUGCAGCGACGCCGCGUGAGUGAUGAAGGCCUUAGGGUCGUAAAGCUCUGUUGUACGGGAAGAAAAAAAUGACGGUACCGUAUAAGAAAGGAUCGGCUAACUUCGUGCCAGCAGCCGCGGUAAUACGAGGGAUCCUAGCGUUGUUCGGAAUCAUUGGGCGUAAAGCGUGUGUAGGCGGCCAAGCAAGUCAGUUGUGAAAGCCCCGGGCUUAACCCGGGAAGUGCUUCUGAUACUGCAUGGCUUGAGUACUGGAGAGGAUAGUAGAAUUCCUGGUGUAGUGGUGAAAUACGUAGAUAUCAGGAGGAAUACCGGUGGCGAAGGCGGCUAUCUGGCCAUGUACUGACGCUGAGACACGAAAGCGUGGGGAGCAAACA